GGCGGGGGCAGGGCGGCGUGGCGAGGCUGCUACCAUGGCGACCGCUUUCAACACAAGGCCUGACUCGGGCGGCUGGCCAGGUCUAGAAGCUUCUGGCUCUGCGCGAGGCUCAAGGACAGUGGGGCACGGGAUGGGGGCGGACAGCGCUACGCCAGCGGGAGGGGAGCUCAGGGCACCACAUUAGGGGGCGGCAUAUGGGUUACGCCUGGUAGCACUCGGGAGGCGCAUGGCCCCCUGUGCCUCUGUUAAAAUUGCAAUUGCCAAAUGGGAUGACUCCUCAUGGCCCCUCCCUGUUCCUCUCGGUCGCUACCCCUCCCUCACAGGCAGCAGUCGCCUAUUGCCCAUACGGGGUGGGGCUCUUCAGAGGGUGGGGCGACAGCACCUUGACAACUGCAGGGGAGCUCCUAUGGACAGGAGGGCGGGGAGCAGGGCACUAUGACAUGGGGAGGGAGCCCAGGACAAGGUACGUGGAAGCGGGUGGGGGACGACGACUGAGGGACACAGGGCAGCACCUUGUAUCGUGGGUCACAGCACCAAAAUAAUAGGGGCACCAAAGCAUAGGGGUGGAAAGGCGUGACAGAUAGUUACCUCAAAGAGAGGCCCCGGAAAGAACAGGGGCACUAAACCGUAUGGCACUUUAGGGCCUCUUUCUGGGAGGAAGCACAGGACCAUAGAGUUCCCUACAUAGGAGCUACAGGGCUACAGCACCCAAAAUGGAGCAUUACCCCCACAGUUCUGGUCUACUGGGACCUUAGCACCAUGGGUCACAAGGAGGACACCAAAGAAAAGUCCAGGUUUAAGGGGCCAAAGCAAAGAGUGCACUGUAAGACUGGGACAACGAAAAAUAGAAGCGAUUUGGAAAAAUAUUCUGUAGCUAGGAAAUGAUUGUCAAUUUGGAAACAAGGAACAGAAUUUGUGUAGGAAGCAGAGAUGGGAAGAAUUUCCCUUAUUUCCAUGUUCAAAUUAUUAAUGAUUUGUUUUAUUCUAGCACUAGGAACUUUAGUCAUAGACCAGUAUCUCUGAGUGUUAGGCCAUUUGCAAAGCAGACUAAAAAGACAGUCCCGGGCCCCCAGGAGUCACGGUCUCCAUCAGUGAUACUCAGACUGGACACUUGAGAGUGGCUCUUAAAGUGUCCUCUGUCACUCUUUGCAGCUAAGAGUAAUGCAUGGGGGGCAGGAAGUGUCACAUGCCCUCCCCCCAUGCUGUGGGAGCCAGGCAAGGGGCUCUUUUGGCUACGCUGCUCAGAUGCUGCACUCUGACAGGAAGAGGAGAUGCUGCUCAACAUAGUGCGGCAUCAGAGGGACAGAGCCCCCCUCACUCACCAGGUAAUGGGAGGGAGCGUGGAGGGAGCCAGGCAGCAGGUACUCUCUCCUGAGUCCCAGGUGGCUUCCAGCCACACUGCCUGGGACGCUACCCAGUGCACUGCAGCACAGGGAGGGGAGGCAUCAGAGCAACUGCACUCUUCCAGGCAGCCUCCGGCCAUGUUGUCUGGGACUCUGCUUGCUGGGCAAUGCAGUGUAGCAGGAUAGACACUCUCCCUGCCUCAGUGACCACCAACCCCAAAAAGAUUCCUCACCCCUGGCAUAAAAAAAUUAAAGGGUCACAGACUAGAAGGCAACCACCUGGAUGUGGAAAUGGCCAAUUAGACGAGUUGGCAGUCAGCAGAAGAGGAAGCAGCAACUAGUGUGGAGGAAGGCAGCCGAUAUCCAAGAGCCCUGAUAUUUUGUCUUUGAUUCACAUAGAAAACAAUUGUGAAGCUAAAAGAAUAACUAAGCACUGCAGUACCGUGUAUAUAUGUGGCUGAUGGAGAGAAACUGGAAACAUGUAUGCUUUUUGAAAAAAUACAUUUAUUUCUUAAAAGCCAAAUCCUGGUUGCAGAGGAAAUAUUUGCCACUUAAUUCAAUGCAACAAGGCUUGAUCCAGAAGUACUAUUUGUUUAAAUGGACUCCACUAUGCUUGUCUAAGAUAGCUACUGAUUUAUAAAAAACUUUGGCACCAAACAUCAAGAUACUAGGAAGGAGAGGUGAACUCAGUUCAUGACUCAUUUCACUGAAUUGUGACUGGAUCAUUUGCCGUUCCCUUUGGUGUUCUAAAAAUAAGCAUAGAAGUUGCUGUGUUUGAGAUUCUUCUCUGGGUUGAUACGUUUUACUUCUUACAUACUGAGAGUUAAAUCCAGUCUUGGCUGGCACUGAGAGACAGAGAAAAAAUGCUGCCAGUGCAUCCUCUUCUACUGGCAUCCUGACACAUCCAGAAGAUCUGUUCUUUGAAGAUGGGGGCAGUGCCUUGUGGGGAUUGCUUUGAAGCUCCUCUCACUAAUGCUUCUUGCUAGCAGCAGGAGCUCACAUGGAAGGCUACACAGCCUCAUAGCCCCUGCAACAAAAAAGCAGGCCCCCAAGGGAAUUUUGUGAAAAGCCUGCAUGUGUUAGGAUAUUUCUCAUAGUGCUAUGCAGAGCUCUUAUGGUGCUGCUUGUAUUGGGUUGAGAGGGGCAAAUAGACUCCCAGGACCAAAUUUUCUUCUGGUUUAAAUGGGUGGGACUUCAUUGAAGUUCAGCUGGGAAUCUGAUUGCCCUAUCCUUUGUACCAAUGCCACACAAGGCAGGAUUUCACCUCAGCUGUAAUAUCAGGAAAACAGUACAAAAAGCACAGCAAUACACACACACACACACACACACACGAGAUUACAGAUUGAAUGGGUGACUAGAUUUACAUGCCAGCUAUGUAGGUAUAUAUAUUUCAUGACCGUUCAAAACAAACAAACUAUUUUGGCAGCUUGAGAGCUAAGGAGUUUGCACCAAGUGUGGUUAAGUCUGUGUGAGAUCUACAGUAAGAGGCUGCUCAUAGUCAUUGUAUAUAUGUAUGUGCUUCCAGAGGUAGAAAUCAGACAGAUGCUCAGUAUGGUAGGAAAAUGUAUGUGCCUAGUUUAUACCAUGUGACUUAAUUUUUACCUUCGUUAUCCUGAAAGGAAGGCAACUGUAACUCCUAAAAAUCUUCAAAGAGGUAUUGUUGCUUGCCUAACCUGUCAUAUUACAAUAGUCAAACCAGCCAUUCAAGACACGUGUGCAUGCCCAGAUUACCAUAAGAGCAAAGUCAUACAAUUAACUUCUGGGACAGUACAAAUCCAGAGCAAAUGACUAUUUUCAUUGACAUAGCAGGAUUUUCACAUUUUAAUAGUCUGGCAGGGGGGUUGCUCCCAUUCUUACAAGGAUAAAAUAUGAGUAUUUUUUCACACCUAAGGAAAAUUACUUUUCUAAUGGCAUUUGUUGUGACCUUCAACUUGUAAGAGUCUGGAGAAGUGUGGGACCAUUGUUCAAACACUGAGAAUUAACAUGCACAAUAAAGCAGGUUGCUUUUCUGAACAUUGACUGAAAACCUGCUAGUUACGAAAGAUUAGAUGCAUUUCCAGGUCUGCUCCACUCUGUUUCCACUUGCUGCAGAGCAAUGUCAGAGUCAAGGUUGAAGGUAAUUUAAGAGGACUGAGACAGCACAGUGCCCAAUUCCCAUGCAGUUUUACAAGGACUCAGCAGUUACUAUUUAGAUAUAAAGAGCACUAAUGAAAAUGAGGCAUCCUUGCUUCCUACUUUUUUACACCUACUACUUUUGCAGUGCCAGCUUUAGAGAUGUGAUGAGUUUUCUAGUGUUUUAAAUGUACAUUCAGGAAAAAUAGUGUAGCCUCUUAACAGUGCUGGUAGAAAGCUGAUCUUAAUUUCAAUCUGAAGUAUGUUUUGCCCAUGAAAGCUCAUGAUACUAUAUGCAACAAAUGCAACCUGAGCUGAACAAAUAAUGACAAAAGUUAUAGGAAUAUUGUAUUUACAAGUGCAAUGUAUUUGUAUAUAUUCACCCACCUCUGUAAUUGGAAUGGGAAAAAAUGCAAAUAAUAUUUUUGAAAAAAAUAGCG